AUAAGAAAGCUUUGACAAUGGCUCAAUUCAACUGCCACCAUAUCAUAUUUCAUAUCCCUUGCUUUCAUAUGGGGUUGCACAGUUCAGUAGUCUUUAGGCUUUAUAUAUGCCAUAAAGUUUCAACUCUCUUCUUUUUUAUGCUUUCAUAUCCCUUGUUUUCAUAUGGGGUUGCACAGUUCAGUAGUCUUUAGGCUUUAUAUAUGCCAUAAAGUUUCAGCUCUCUUCCUUUUUAUGCUCUCCACUUAACAAUGUCUAUAGGUCUCUUACUGUUUCAAUUUCUUUCUUUGCAAGUAAAGGAAAUCCGAUCCAGUAAAAAAGCUUCUCUCGAAUGGUAUGCCAUCACCGUUCCAAAAAUUUAAAGCAUUUAACCUCAGUUUGACUGCAUUGGAGGUGCAAGUUUCGGACACGGAAAAGGAAGAAAAUCACACACUGGUUUAUCUUUUUGUUUCACCCGAGGUACAUCCCAUGUGAGGCAAAAAACUGAAGAUUUGGGUGGCCUAGAGACAUUGUAUUUAGGGAGCCUGAUUCGAGAGCUGGCAGCUGGGGUUCAGUAUGUAUUUAGGUGCAAGCUCAGUCAUAAAUCCUGAACUCUGGAGCAUGGUUGAUGGUCUGUAAUAAAUGUGGGAUCGUGGUUAAUGACAAUUGAUCUGACUGACAGUCUUCACGUGAAAUUGAAGACUGAACCUAGGAGAAAAAUAAAAGGGAUAUUUACUCAUCAGUUCCUAGAUACUAUUUUUUUUAAAUUAAUUCAUUUAAGUUUUUAUUUGUAUUCCAGUAAUUGCAACUAUUGUUUGUGGUGUUUUGUAUUUAAGUUUGAUUACCAAAUUAAACUUCUUAAGAAAUUGUAUUUUAAAAUAAGAUCAUGAUGAAAUGAAGUUAAUUAAUUUUUUAAAGACAAAAUUUCAGAUGUUUUGGGGGUGUCGACUAUCAAAAUUGAAUAAAAUGUAAAGUAAAAAUAGGAGAAGAGAUGUUGGUUUGAUGACAUCCGUAGAACAUUAAACAAUGUAAUUGGAAUACACUGGUUUUAAACAUUAAAAAAUAAAUCUAAAUAGGCUUAAAAACAAUGUUAUAUAAAUUUGUCCUUUUAAGGUUAAUUUUCUUCUUUUCAGAUGAAUAAAAGUCAGUAAUAAUCUCAAUCUUCUCGCGCAUUCAUGAUCAAGGCUCCAUCAUAUACUUCUUGUAAAAUUGGAAAUCAACUAUUUUAUCCCCAUCUCCAUUAUGGAUGUUUUUCACUAUUAAUCUAUCUAAAGAAAAAGAUAUAAAUUAAAAUUAAAAAAAAAACCUAAAAUCUUUUUUAGGAAUCCGCCACUGCCAACACUUUAAAUUCACCUCUGAAUAAAAUGAAUUAUUAAUAUUAAAUUAUAUGACACCAAUGAUGUGGUGAUAGAAAAUUUUAUUUAAAAUCAAGCAUCAAAGGUUAAAAUUGAAUUCAAAUAAUCUAUUUUUUUACUCCAAUAAUUAAAAUAAUUAAAUUAAAUAUCAAAAUAGAUCACCUUACAAAUUAAUUACCGAAAUGGAUCGUUAAUAAAAUUUUUCAAUACCGCUUGACUAAAAUAUAAUUAGUGAUUAUUUUUAUUAUGUUACAUAAUAGUUAUUUUAGUUUUAAGUAGUAAAAUGUGUGAUUUUAAAUUAGGUUGUUGUGGGUUCAAUUUUCACAUAUAACACUUUAUUUUUUAUUUUUGCUUCAAAAGGUAAAUUCUACUUUAUUAUUAUUUGACAAAAUAUUAUUAUUUGUGGAAAUCAAACCCUCGACCAUAAUUUUAUUGUAGCAUAAUACUUUACUAUAACAACUGUUUUAUAAUAUGAUAAAUAAAAUAAUUAAUUAUAUUGUAAUAUGGUGCCGUCAAUAUGUCAGGCGGCACCAAUAUUUUUUUUUUAAAAUCCAUGUGGUAUCGUCAACUAGUCAAACAGUAUUAAAAAAUAUUAUAGCAAAAUUUGUAGGGUGUGACCCAUUUUGAUAUUUAAUUUUUUUUAAAAAUAUUAUUAAAGUGCCACAAUUUUUAUUUACUAAAUAAAAAAGAAAGAAAGUAUAGCCACCUCCAAUUUUUUAUUUAAGUGUGAUGGCACCUUUAUUUUUUUUAAAACAAAAUUUAAAAUCAAUUAAAAUGUAUAACCAACAUUGACAAACACACAUGAUAAAUACACUAAAUAAUAAUCUAAUAAUUAUUUUAAAAAGUAAUACUUAUGCCUAUUGUUUCUAAAAAAUUAAGAAAAAAUAUAAAUAUUUUUAUUUUAAAGAUAUGUUCACUAAAAUUACUUAAAUAGUAAAAAUAUUAUAUUCUGAAAUUUUUGUUUGUUUUCUUUUUCAAAAUUCUGAGCACUUUAAUGACAUGAAAAUGACUCCCACUUCAAUCUUUCAUUUUUGGUAACAGAAAAGACUGCGGGCAGCGUUUGGUAAGGGCCAAAACUUAAAAGUAGUAUAAAAGAAAUUCACUAUUUUAAAAAAAAUGGUCUGUGAGAGAGCUGACAUAUUUGGGAGGGUUAAAAUAUGUUAUAAACCCUUUUCCCUAUAUUAGAAUCGAGUCCAACGAACGUUGGUUACCUCUUGAGCCAACUAAUAACUUCGCCAAAAACAAAUCAGACCUACCAUAAAAACAAUUGCCUAAUCAUAGAUUAGCACAAAGAAUGUCAUACUUGUGCCUUCACACAUACAUGCAUGCGUUAUGAUGUCUACGUCCAAGGCUAUUACAAGCUAAUCUUUUAGGUUGAUGCCUAAACCAUGAAACAUACAUGCAUGUGCUUUGUUUUGCUGUUGGAUGAACCAACAGCAUAUUUACGGUAGACCCAUAACCCACUUUCAUGUUCUAAAUGCAAACAAACAAAUGCAUUUAAAGCUACCAUCCAAAACAAUUCUUAUAUUAUCAUAUCAAGGGGUGUAGCCCAAGUUUAGCCAUGGCGUACAUCAACCACAUCAUAAUUCAAAGGAACCUAUAAAUAUAUCCCUAUUUCCUGGUAUCAUCCAAAUGUAAAUAGUGUAUAAUAAGAAAGCUUUGACAAUGGCUCAAUUCAAUUGCCACCAUAUCAUAUUUCAUAUCCUUUGCUUUCAUAUGGGGUUGCACAGUUCAGUCUUUAGGCUUUAUCUAUGCCAUAAAGUUUCAACUCUCUUCUUUUUUAUGCUCUCCACUUAACAAUGUCUAUAGGUCUCUUAACUGUUUCAAUUUCUUUCUUUGCAAGUAAAGGAAAUCCGAUCCAGUAAAAAAGCUUCUCUCGAAUGGUAUGCCAUCACCGUACCAAAAAUUUAAAGCAUUUAACCUCAGUUUGACUGCAUUGGAGGUGCAAGUUUCAGACACGGAAAAGGAAGAAAAUCACACACUGGUUUAUCUUUUUGUUUCACCCGAG
rnacentral:lncRNA from 1 species